rnacentral:lncRNA from 1 species
UAUUGCCUUCAACUCAUCCUGCAUCUCUGCCUUGGCUUGUUGUGAUUGCUCAGUCAAAGUGUAGAUGUUCUGCUGUAACUCAUCAUUAGCUUGCUGUAGAGUUGAAAUGUUCUCAGUUUGCUUUUCAACCACAGUCUCAAGAUUCCUAACAGAAGCCUGAGACGUCUGUAACUCUAAUAGAGCUGUGUCCUUCUCUGCACCUAGGUCUGAAAUUUGAGCAUGCAGAUUGCUCCUGGCUUCUUCAAACUGCUUGUCCAAGGUGGAGUUGUUUUCUAGCUGUUCGGAAAGCUCCUCUUUCAGCCGUGUCACCUCAUUCUCAAGAUUUUGUACUGAAGUCUCUGACUGCUUCAGUUGUGUUAGCACUGUAUCCUUCUCUUCUUGUAUUGCCUUCAACUCAUCCUGCAUCUCCGCCUUGGCUUGUUGUGAUUGCUCAGUCAAAGUGUAGAUGUUCUUCUGUAACUCAUCAUUAGCUUGCUGUAGAGUAGAAAUGUUCUCAGUUUGCUUUUCAACCACAAUCUCAAGAUUCCUGACAGAAGCCUGAGACGUCUGUAACUCCAAUAGAGCUGUGUCCUUCUCUGCACCUAGGUCUGAAAUUUGAGCAUGCAGAUUGCUCCUGGCUUCUUCAAACUGCUUGUCCAAGGUGGAGUUGUUUUCUAGCUGUAUGGAAAGCUCCUCUUUCAGUCGUGUCACCUCGUUCUCAAGAUUUUGUACUGAAGUCUCUGACUGCUUCAGUUGUGUUAGCACUGUAUCCUUCUCUUCUUGUAUUGCCUUCAACUCAUCCUGCAUCUCCGCCUUGGCUUGUUGUGAUUGCUCAGUCAAAGUGUAGAUGUUCUUCUGUAGCUCAUCAUUAGCUUGCUGUAGAGUAGAAAUGUUCUCAGUUUGCUUUUCAACCACAGUCUCAAGAUUCCUGACAGAAGCCUGAGACGUCUGUAACUCUAAUAGAGCUGUGUCCUUCUCUGCACCUAGGUCUGAAAUUUGAGCAUGCAGAUUGCUCCUGGCUUCUUCAAACUGCUUGUCCAAGGUGGAGUUGUUUUCUAGCUGUUCGGAAAGCUCCUCUUUCAGCCGUGUCACCUCAUUCUCAAGAUUUUGUACUGAAGUCUCUGACUGCUUCAGUUGUGUUAGCACUGUAUCCUUCUCUUCUUGUAUUGCCUUCAACUCAUCCUGCAUCUCCGCCUUGGCUUGUUGUGAUUGCUCAGUCAAAGUGUAGAUGUUCUUCUGUAACUCAUCAUUAGCUUGCUGUAGAGUAGAAAUGUUCUCAGUUUGCUUUUCAACCACAAUCUCAAGAUUCCUGACAGAAGCCUGAGACGUCUGUAACUCCAAUAGAGCUGUGUCCUUCUCUGCACCUAGGUCUGAAAUUUGAGCAUGCAGAUUGCUCCUGGCUUCUUCAAACUGCUUGUCCAAGGUGGAGUUGUUUUCUAGCUGUAUGGAAAGCUCCUCUUUCAGUCGUGUCACCUCGUUCUCAAGAUUUUGUACUGAAGUCUCUGACUGCUUCAGUUGUGUUAGCACUGUAUCCUUCUCUUCUUGUAUUGCCUUCAACUCAUCCUGCAUCUCCGCCUUGGCUUGUUGUGAUUGCUCAGUCAAAGUGUAGAUGUUCUUCUGUAGCUCAUCAUUAGCUUGCUGUAGAGUAGAAAUGUUCUCAGUUUGCUUUUCAACCACAAUCUCAAGAUUCCUGACAGAAGCCUGAGACGUCUGUAACUCCAAUAGAGCUGUGUCCUUCUCUGCACCUAGGUCUGAAAUUUGAGCAUGCAGAUUGCUCCUGGCUUCUUCAAACUGCUUGUCCAAGGUGGAGUUGUUUUCUAGCUGUAUGGAAAGCUCCUCUUUCAGUCGUGUCACCUCAUUCUCAAGAUUUUGUACUGAAGUCUCUGACUGCUUCAGUUGUGUUAGCACUGCAUCCUUCUC